rnacentral:rRNA from 1 species
CACUGGUGGCGACCGGCGCACGGGUGAGUAACACGUGUGCAACCAACCCCGUACCGGGAGAUAACCCGCGGAAACGUGGACUAACAUCCCAUGAGACUCUAGAUCCGCAUGGCUCUAGAUUUAAAAUUCCGGUGGUACGGGACGGGCACGCGCGACAUUAGGUAGUUGGCGGGGUAAGGGCCCACCAAGCCGACGAUGUCUAGGGGUUCUGAGAGGAAGGCCCCCCACACUGGAACUGAGACACGGUCCAG